UACGUAGGGUGCAAGCGUUAAUCGGAAUUACUGGGCGUAAAGCGUGCGCAGGCGGUUUUGUAAGGCUGAUGUGAAAUCCCCGGGCUUAACCUGGGAAUUGCAUUGGAGACUGCAAGGCUGGAGUCUGGCAGAGGGGGGUAGAAUUCCACGUGUAGCAGUGAAAUGCGUAGAGAUGUGGAGGAACACCGAUGGCGAAGGCAGCCCCCUGGGUCAAGACUGACGCUCAUGCACGAAAGCGUGGGGAGCAAACAGG
rnacentral:rRNA from 1 species